UGGCACCUGGAUCAGGGUCUCAAUCAGAUGCCAGUCUCCCCAGACUUCAGGGAAUUCACAGCAAACUAGAGAUAUUUCCUGUAAGUUCCUCUCACCAGGCAAGGCUGUGGUCAGGAGUCAUUGCCUCUCUCCUCUUCCAAGGGGACUGAGACUAACUUCAUACUGGACUACUUUCUCCAGAAAAAUCCUCUCCCCAGUUUCCAACUUCAGCCUUUUCAGAGAUGGCCGUUGGACCAAGAGUCAGAAAACUAUUUCCAUUUAGACCCUUUGCAAGGUUGGAAAUGUCAGGUAUUUGAACAUUUCAUUUUGUUUUUGGCCCAUGGAGCCUCAACUGAAACCAAUACCCAAAUAUUCCAUUUUAGCAUCCUGUUAUAUGCAUACAGUUGCUGUUCAGUCCAUGGUGCUUUGUAACUUUUACGUUGUUGUGGGAGAUUUACUGCACUGAUGGACCUCAUCAAUGGUAUCCACACUCUUUGCCAUGGCUUGUUAGCCCCUCUCAUCAAGGGUUGAAGUCUAUUUCCCAAUCCUUGGAUUUGGGCUAGUCUUGUGAUUGCUUUGACCAACAGAAUGUGGCAGAAGGAACAUUAUACCUUUUCUGAGCCUGGGAACAAGAGACCCUGAAUGAUUUUGGCCUGUCUCUUGGAGUUCUCCUGCUGUCCUGUGAAUAAACCUGUGGGCGG
rnacentral:lncRNA from 1 species